rnacentral:rRNA from 1 species
CCUACGGGAGGCAGCAGUGGGGAAUAUUGGACAAUGGGCGCAAGCCUGAUCCAGCCAUACCGCGUGGGUGAAGAAGGCCUUCGGGUUGUAAAGCCCUUUUGUUGGGAAAGAAAUCCAGCUGGUUAAUACCCGGUUGGGAUGACGGUACCCAAAGAAUAAGCACCGGCUAACUUCGUGCCAGCAGCCGCGGUAAUACGAAGGGUGCAAGCGUUACUCGGAAUUACUGGGCGUAAAGCGUGCGUAGGUGGUCGUUUAAGUCCGUUGUGAAAGCCCUGGGCUCAACCUGGGAACUGCAGUGGAUACUGGGCGACUAGAAUGUGGUAGAGGGUAGCGGAAUUCCUGGUGUAGCAGUGAAAUGCGUAGAGAUCAGGAGGAACAUCCAUGGCGAAGGCAGCUACCUGGACCAACAUUGACACUGAGGCACGAAAGCGUGGGGAGCAAACAGGAUUAGAUACCCCAGUAGUC